CAGCAGCCGCGGGAAUACGUAGGUGGCAAGCGUUGUCCGGAAUUAUUGGGCGUAAAGGGCUCGCAGGCGGUUUCUUAAGUCUGAUGUGAGAGCCCCCGGCUCAACCGGGGAGGGUCAUUGGAAACUGGGAAACUUGAGUGCAGAAGAGGAGAGUGGAAUUCCACGUGUAGCGGUGAAAUGCGUAGGGAUGUGGAGGAACACCAGUGGCGAAGGCGACUUUCUGGUCUGUAACUGACGCUGAGGAGCGAAAGCGUGGGGAGCGAACAGGAUUAGAUACCCGUGUAGUCCCUGUCUCUUAUAC
rnacentral:rRNA from 1 species